GUUUUAUGCUCAGUCAGUAGAGCAUGAGACUCUUAAUCUCAGGGUUGUGGGUUCAAGCUCCACGUUAGGCA